GGGCCCGCACAAGCAGCGGAGCAUGUGGUUUAAUUCGAAGCAACGCGAAGAACCUUACCAGGGCUUGACAUCCACAGAAUACUAUAGAGAUAUGGUAGUGCCUUUCGGGGAACUGUGAGACAGGUGGUGCAUGGUUGUCGUCAGCUCGUGUCGUGAGAUGUUGGGUUAAGUCCCGCAACGAGCGCAACCCUUGUCAUUAGUUGCUAACAGUAAGAUGAGCACUCUAAUGAGACUGCCGGGGACAACUCGGAGGAAGGUGGGGAUGACGUCAAAUCAUCAUGCCCCUUAUGUCCUGGGCUACACACGUGCUACAAUGGCUAGAACAAUGAGAAGCGAAAUGGAGACAUGGAGCAAAUCUAUAAAACUAGUCCCAGUUCGGAUUGAGGGCUGCAACCCGCCCUCAUGAAGAUGGAGUUGCUAGUAAUCGCGAAUCAGCAUGUCGCGGUGAAUACGUUCCCGGGCCUU
rnacentral:rRNA from 1 species